UGCAGAGAGGCAGAGAUGAGGCUGUUAACAAACUCAGAUUGCUAGGGAAUCACCACAUCCCUGAAGUUAUUGUCCAAGUGUUCUGACACUGAAUGGCCUAUCCAUAAAUUGCAGAGUGCAGUAUUUAUACACGUUUUUAUGAGGAACGUGAAUGUCACCUUAAGUGGAUGUUGCAAUGCUGCUGCUCCUUCAAAAACCAUCUUCCUGACCUAGUUCUCCUUGCUGCUUUUCUUUGGGAGGCAACUGUCACGUGUUUCAGGGUGCUGCCAGUUGCUGUGAUGGACGUCUUGCUCCCUCCUAAAUGCUGGUUCUGUGUUGGGAGGCAGCAACUGUGCAGAGCCAGGGUGUACCAGUGGAUGAGUCACUGUGCCUCAUGUGUUUUCUCUGCUUUUCUUCUGCCGGAGUGUGCUGUAGCCCUGGGUUUGCCCCAUGCAGCAUAAGGCAUUACAAAGACUUUUUCUCAUAGUCAGUUUUGUGUGUGCCAUGGUGACAGUGAAGACUCUACUGAGCUGAAGUAUUGAACUGUGGUCUGUGCCCUCUUUAUGGCCGAAGACCCCCAUGAUGGCCCACAUCCACAUCCCAUCCUGAGAAUUCUGAUUAUCUGGUAGCCGUGGCACGAAUGGCAAGAGAACAGGAUGCAUGUUGGGAUGCUAGCAUGCUAGCAGCUAGCUGCAUGCAACCAUCUUUUAUAGACAAAAGUAUCCUGCUUUCCAGCCCAGCCCAGAGAGCUAUGCUUUGACUGUGGUCCUGCUGUUCAUGGACCAUGUAUACCUGGCUGAGGAGAGGGCUCCUGAAGAGGAAAGUUCAUUUGGAGGUGGUCUGCAGGGGUGAUAGUAUUGCUCCAUACUACAACUGAUUUGCUAGUUUCAGUAUGAAGAAAUGAAAAGUGUGUGGCUUGUUGAUUGGACUAGGUGGAAGUAUUGUGUCAGUACUCCUCGUGUAAAGUGGACAACGUUCAUGUGUAAAUAGCAGUCACUCUCAGCCUGUAUCUUCAGUGGCAAUACAUAUAGAAUGACACUGUUCUAAGGUGCUUCUUCAAGCUAAGCUGGAGGAAAUGAGUAUGAAUAAUCCCUCUCUUUUCAUGCAGAAAACAAGACUUUGUGGCUAAAAGAUGAAUGAAAAGAGUGGUUGCACACUGUACUCUGAAUAAAUAACAUCUAAUUACUGAA